UUCAUAGGCUGUUUCUUUGGUUAGACAUCUUUUAUUGAAAAUAGUUUGUUUCGUUAUUGUAAUGGUCACCAAAGGGUUAAAGAAAACUAGUCGAUAAGUUAUGAUUUUUGUUGUCUCUAAAAUUGGGAUUUUAAAUUAGAGAAUUUUUGUGACUUUGCGAUUUUGCAAUUCAAACAAGACGCUUUUUUAUCCUAAUCAAUAACAAAUAACCAGUUUUAUAAGUAAAGCAUUUGGCUCGAUUAGCUGAAAUCACUACGCUGAGGAGACCAGAACCUAAUACUUGAUAUUACUAGAGAAAUUUCAUAAAGGCCACUAGAAAUUGAAAAAGUUGCUUAGAAUAUGGUCCUUUAAAAGCAUAACACUUAAAGAAAGUUAAAUCCUCGCACUCGCAAACACGAACAGGACGCACACUCUUUACUCACAACACACAUCGGAUAAUUGGUUUGUGAGAUAUAACAUUUUUAAAGAAAAAAAUUAAAACAAAUUAAAAACAAUUAGAAUUCACAUGACAAUAGACUUUUCAAAUCAAA